UUUUUAGUAGCUCAGUGGUAGAGCACUGCCCAUCAUAUGUGAAGCCCUGAGUUCAAUCCUCAGUACUACAAAA
rnacentral:tRNA from 1 species